ensembl:snoRNA small nucleolar RNA SNORA67
CACCACGGUGAUUCCUUGUCCAAGGGGCUUAAUGUAGCCUCUUUAGAGAAGGAGCAAAUUGGAAUAAACUCUGGCUUCAGGGUGUCAGCAGAGAAGGUGAUGCUUAAAGUCCUUUGCCUUCCUUUGGCUGCCUACAUGU